UGGCCUGCAUCCACUGUCUGGCACUCCCUAGUGAGAUGAACCCGGUACCUCAGAUGGAAAUGCAGAAAUCACCCGUCUUCUGCGUCGCUCACGCUGGGAGCUGUAGACCGGAGCUGUUCCUAUUCGGCCAUCUUGGGUCUGGAUUCGGCAUUACAUGUCUUAACGGAAAAAUCAACUCAAGAUGGAUUAAGGACUUAAACCUAAGACUUGAAACUAUAAAAAUUCUAGAAGAUAACAUUGGAAAAACCCUUCUAGACAUUGACUUAGAUAAGUAUUUCAUGACCAAGAACCCAAAAGCAAAUGCAAUAAAAACAAAGAUAAAUAACUAGGACCUAACUGAACUAAGAGCUUUUGUGCAGCAAAAAGAACAGUCAGCAGAGUAAACAGACAACCUACAGAGUGGGAGAAAAUCUUCACAAUCUAUACAUCUGACAAAGGACUAAUAUUCAGAAUCCACAACAAACACAAAUCAGUGAAAAAAUCCUAUCAAAAAGUGGGCUAAGGACAUAAAUAGACAAUUCUCAAAAGAAGAUAUACAAACGUCCAAUAAACAUGCAAAAAAUGCUCAACAUCACUAAUGAUCAGGGAAAUGCAAAUCAAAACCACAAUGUGAUAUCACUUUGCUCCUGCAAGAAUGGCCAUAAUCAAAAAAUUGAAAAACAGUAGAUGUUGGCGUGGGUGUGGUGAUAAGGGAACACUUCUACACUGCUGGUGGGAAUGUAAACUAGUACAGCCACUGUGGAAAAUGGUGUGGAGAUUCCUUAAAGAAUGAAAAGUAGAACUACCAUU
ensembl:lncRNA novel transcript